AACGAACGCUGGCGGCAUGCCUAACACAUGCAGGUCGAACGAGACCUUCGGGUCUAGUGGCGCACGGGUGCGUAACGCGUGGGAACCUGCCCUUAGGUUCGGAAUAACUCCCCGAAAGGGGUGCUAAUACCGGACAAUGUCUUCGGACCAAAGAUUUAUCGCCUUUGGAUGGGCCCGCGUUGGAUUAGCUAGUUGGUAGGGUAAAAGCCUACCAAGGCGACGAUCCAUAGCUGGUCUGAGAGGAUGAUCAGCCACACUGGGACUGAGACACGGCCCAGACUCCUACGGGAGGCAGCAGUGGGGAAUAUUGGACAAUGGGCGAAAGCCUGAUCCAGCAAUGCCGCGUGAGUGAUGAAGGCCUUAGGGUUGUAAAGCUCUUUUACCCGGGAUGAUAAUGACAGUACCGGGAGAAUAAGCUCCGGCUAACUCCGUG
rnacentral:rRNA from 1 species